GACGUAGGGCGCGAGCGUUGUCCGGAUUUAUUGGGCGUAAAGAGCUCGUAGGCGGCUCGUUGCGUCGGCUGUGAAAACCCGCAGCUCAACUGUGGGCUUGCAGCUGAUACGGGCGGGCUGGGAUUCGGUAGGGGAGACUGGAAUUCCUGGUGUAGCGGUGAAAUGCGCAGAUAUCAGGAGGAACACCGGUGGCGAAGGCGGGUCUCUGGACAGUUCCUGACGCUGAGGCACGAAGGCCAGGGGAGCAAACGGG
rnacentral:rRNA from 1 species